CGGGAUGUAGCGCAGCUUGGUAGCGCACCUCGUUCGGGACGAGGGGGUCGCACGUUCAAAUCGUGUCAUCCCGA
rnacentral:tRNA from 4 species